AGCUUUUCGCAGUGUCACUGUAGCCAAUGAGGUUUAUCCAAGGUGAGAUUAUUGCUAAUUGAAAACUUUUCCUAGUUCCUCUUUCCUUUGGAACAAUUUCUUCCUAUUUCACAGUA
rnacentral:snRNA from 1 species